UGGGCUUUGGUGCAUCUGUCUUUGAGUCA
rnacentral:piRNA from 1 species